rnacentral:rRNA from 1 species
UACAUGGGGUGCAAACGUUGCUCGGAAUUAUUGGGCGUAAAGCGCACGUAGGCGGUUUGUUAAGUCGGAUGUGAAAUCCCUCGGCUCAACUGAGGAAGUGCAUCCGAAACUGGCAAGCUUGAGUACGAAAGAGGGUCGCGGAAUUCCCGGUGUAGAGGUGAAAUGCGUAGAUAUCGGGAGGAACACCUGUGGCGAAAGCGGCGCACUGGACCACAACUGACGCUGAGGCGCGAAAGCUAGGGGAGCAAACAGG